CAAUAAAUCUGACGGUUAUUUGUAUUGCUAUCAUAGAAAAUAAUGCAGAAAAUUAUGAAGCCAGAGUGCGUCGUCUGCUUUGACAUUAGGAUAUCCCUUUCAACGAAAUUCCCUACAGACGUCGCCGAUGUGCUAAAAAUAGAAUUUUAUGUUGUGUUAUAAUGCAACCUUUCUCUUACCUUAGAUAUAUAAAAAUACCUUCUCAUGAUAUUGAUGAGAAAUAAUCAUCAUAUACAAAUCUAUUUAUCGAUAAAAAAAAGGUAUAAUUAUUGUUUUGCAAGAGCUGAAGUUUGUGUUGGCCAUCACCUUUGGCGGUCAAUUCUGCAAUGCCCCUUACAUCAUGUUUUACCACCAUGAAAAAAAAAAUAAGCUGUAGUAAAAUUUUCAGAGAAAAUCCUUUUACUUUUAAAGAUUAUUUAAUUUCAAUAAAAGUUAUUUGUAAAUACAACAAAGAACGAACUUGCAUUGGAUACUUUACUAAAGUCAUUGUGACAUGUUUAUAGUCCAUUUCAAAAUAGACAUGCAUUAUUAAAAAUUGAGUUAUCUUUCUUUGUGCCUGAUUUUUUUUGUAAUUUUCACUUUAUCAUUUUUACAGGGUUUCCUCAGCAGACAGAAACAAGUGAGAGUAGACCAACACAGUUCAGUAUACAAGAAAGCUCAUCAUCUGAUCAAAUAUAUACUGCUGAACCUGUCAGCUCACCCAUUCCAGCACAGAUUGCUGUCUCAGGAUGCCAGACAGCUGAUGAACCACCAUCUUCUGUGGAGAGUAUCUGGAUUAGAAGACUGGAGCAGGUUCAUCAGAGAAAUGAAGAAACACCUUAUACUGAACAUGCCAACCUAUCAGCCCAAAUACCUCUUUCAUUUACUAAUAGCAGCACUCAGCAACCACCAAAAGCCAGUGAGAAUAAACGGACAAAGAAACCCAAGAGAACUGCAGAAGAUGUGUACGAGUUGCAGUGUCAGGCAUUAGAGAGCGAGCUAAAAAGAAAUCGGACCCAAAUGGAACUUUUCAAGAAACAAAUGGAGUUUUAUGAUUUGAUAAAGAAAAAUUUUGAAAAUAGUUGUACAGAGUCAAUGUUAGAGUCUU